AAUCCUAAUUCUAAUAGAAUAUUGAGAAUGCUCUAAUUAGACCAUAAUAAUGCUAAGCAAGCUUAAUCAAAUUCAAAAAAACUUCAAAAAAUUUCAAACAAACAAUAAGAAUUCUUAAAGAAAUAUUAGAAGGAUCACAAAUAUCACUCAAAUACAUCUCAAUUCAAUCUUAAUUUAAUUCUAGUUGAAAUCCUAUUGAACUUCAUUCAAACUUUAGGCCAAACCUAAUUAAAUCUUAAAUCUUAAUAAAAUCCUAAACCCUAAAUCAAACCCUAAAUAAAUCUUAAAUCCUAAUAAAAUCCUAAACCCUAAAUCAAACCAUAAAUAAAUCUUAAACCAAAUCCCAACCAAAUCCUAAACCAAAUCCGAACCAAACUCUAAAUCCUUAAUCAAAUCCUAAUAAAAUCUUAAUCCAAAUCCUAAAUCCUAAACCAAACCCUAAUCCAAAUCCUAAAUAAAAUCCUAACCAAAUCCUAAUACAAAUCCUAAAUCCUAAACCAAAUUCUAAUCAAAUCCUAAAUCCUAAAUCAAACCCUAAUCAAACCAUAAACCCUAAAUCAAACCCUAAUCCAAAUCCUAAAUCCUAAACCAAAAUCUAACCAAAUC
rnacentral:lncRNA from 1 species